rnacentral:rRNA from 1 species
CACGCCCUAAACGAUGAUCACUGGGUGUUGGGGAAGCGAUUCCUUGGUACCGUAGCUAACGCGUGAAGUGAUCCGCCUGGGGAGUACGGUCGCAAGAUUAAAACUCAAAGGAAUUGACGG